UGAGACUGAACAGUAGUAGACUGAAGAUACUGGCAGGCACUCAGUAAUAUUUCACUUCUAUUCAUGUACUUGACCACAAGAGGGCAAUGAUUUCCAACACAAAAAUGCCACAUGUCAAUUUAUUGUGAUGGUUUCUACUCACAAAUUCUGCCUCUUCUUAUGUCUUCACUUUAUGUCGAACUGUGAAGACCUUAGAUGAGGAAUGAGCUCUAAGGUUAUAAAAUCAAUCUGAGAACAACAACAAAAAAAGGUGGGGGGUGAAUUUGCUUAAGAUUAGAAACGUUGGUCAUUGAAUCUGCCUUCUGUAGCCUUCUCCUUGGGAGAGAAGGACCAGUUCCAGGGAAGGAUUUGUUGUUUCUCCGAAAUCUGCUUCCCCACUGCUGGAUCAGCCAUGCUCUCUGCUCCCACCUCAGUGAUCGGGAUUCUGUUACUAUUUGGGGGUACCUAUGGAGAUUCAGUGACCCAGACAGAAGGACACAUCACCCUGCCUGAGCGAGCACCACUCACACUGAACUGUUCUUAUCAGACCAGUGGAACACCUUAUCUCUUCUGGUAUAUCCAGUAUCCCAAUGAAGCUCUCAAGCUCCUCCUGAGAGAGACAUCAGGAAAAGACCAGCAGAAGGACAACAAUGGAUUUUGGGCCCAAAAGAUUAAGGAAAAGUCUUUCUUCCAGCUGGAGAAAACUUCAGUCCAAACGGGAGAUUCUGCUGUGUACUAUUGUGUUCUGAAUGACACAGUGAUGGGGACUGCAGGGGGAGCUGAACACAAACCCUCAGAGGCACAGGAGUGAUCUUGAGUCUAGCCAGCCUUGGAAGCGGGGUUUGACUCUGUUCCUCCCAGACAAGGACAUGUGGGAACAUCCCC